rnacentral:lncRNA from 1 species
UUAUCUUCUUCCAAAAGAUUAAAGAAUAUUCAUUAAAGGCCACAAGGCGGGUUCCGUCAUGCCAUAAUCCGGAUGCCAGUCCCGCUAAACAAGGCAUCUUAUGCCAGGCCACAAGGCGGAUUCUGCCAGGCCAUAAUCCUGGUGUCAGUCCCGCUAAACAAAGCAUUUUAUACCAGGCCACAAAGCGGAUUCCGCUAGGGCAUAAUCCAGGUGUUAGUCCCGCUAAUAAAAGCAUUCUAUGACAAGCCAUAAGGUGGGUGUCUAUCAAGCUCAUUGACUAGGUG